AUUGAACGCUGGCGGCAUGCUUUACACAUGCAAGUCGAACGGUAACAGGUUAAGCUGACGAGUGGCGAACGGGUGAGUAAUGCAUCGGAACGUGCCCGGUCGUGGGGGAUAACGCAGCGAAAGCUGCGCUAAUACCGCAUACGAUCUGAGGAUGAAAGCGGGGACCGUAAGGCCUCGCGCGAUCGGAGCGGCCGAUGUCAGAUUAGGUAGUUGGUGGGGUAAAGGCUCACCAAGCCAACGAUCUGUAGCUGGUCUGAGAGGACGACCAGCCACACUGGGCCUGAGACACGGCCCAGACUCCUACGGGAGGCAGCAGUGGGGAAUUUUGGACAAUGGGCGAAAGCCUGAUCCAGCAAUGCCGCGUGCAGGAAGAAGGCCUUCGGGUUGUAAACUGCUUUUGUACGGAGCGAAAAGGUCUCCUCUAAUACAGGGGGCUCAUGACGGUACCGUAAGAAUAAGCACCGGCUAACUACGUGCCAGCAGCCGCCGUAA
rnacentral:rRNA from 1 species